rnacentral:lncRNA from 1 species
UCCCUCUCCCUGUGCUGUUGCCCGGAAACUCUCUCAUGGUAGUAAGUUCAAGCAAUAGGGCUCACCUUGUUUGUUUUCCAUUUCUUAGGGAUGACUACUCUUCAUUCUCUGAUAGCUGAUGUCUCGGAAACCAUUGUUUCAUAUGUGUUGCCAGGUUGCUUUUUUUAUUGCUUCAGGCUGGAGGGUGAAUCCAGUCCCACCUACUCCAUCUUGCUCAGAAGUGGACACCUCUUCAGAAUAUAAUUGUAAAAUGAGAGAGAUCAUAACUCCAAACUUCUUAAGUGUGGGUUACACACAGUGACUUCCUUUUCUAAGAGUACAGUAUGGAGAAGAAUAAAAGACAUAACUUUAUAGUUAUCAGGGAAACCUGAUAACACCACCUCCCAGCCCAUAACUCCAGUUUCACCAUGAGGAAAACACAAAACUAACUCCAAUAUUGGGAGAAUCUAUAAAAUACCUGGCCAGAACUCAAAACCUUCAAGGUCAUCAAAAACAAGGAAAGCCUGAGGAACUGUCACAGCCAAGAGGAACCUCAAAAUACAAGACAGCAAAAUGUACUGUGAUAUCUUGGAUGGGAUACUAGAACAGGGAAAGCAUGUCAGGUAAUAUCUAAGGAAAUGUACAUAAACUACUUAGGUGAACAG